CUUUCGAGUUUCCAGAAACU
rnacentral:snRNA from 1 species